GAAAAAAGAUUAACUAUGCUGUAUAAAAUAAAUUGGGGGUUAGUUGAAGUUCCUAAGGACAAUUUAACAAUAUCUGAUAGACGUACUAGGGGGAAACAUAAAUUUAGGCAAAUAUCAACAAAUAAAGAUUUCUAUAAAUUUUCAUUUUAUCCUCGCACUAUUUCGGACUGGAACUCACUACCUGAAGCAAUAGGUAUGUCUGACACCCUGGAAUCCUUCAAAAGUGGCAUAUCCACUCUAACAUUUGAAGGAUCCACAACAACUUAUUAAACUACAAAGCCACUGUACAUAAUGUAUAUGUUAUUGUUAACGAUUUUUCUUUGUCAUAUUAUUUUUAAAUUAAGUCCAUAUGUACAUAGCACACAAGUUCCGGGAAGUUUUACACUCCUACCUAGGAGUCUACUCCCGUAUUCGGAAGAAGAAG
rnacentral:lncRNA from 1 species